AAGCUGGGACAGGCCCAGCAUGAAGCCUAGGCAUCCAUAAAUAAAUGUAAGUCUGCUGUCAUUAUGCAGAGCAAGGACAGGCAGGCAGGAAUGUCCCACAGAAGCAGCAGGAGCUGGAGCAGGAGCAAGAGCAAGAGACAAAGAGCAAGCGAUUCCUUCCAUGUCUUCACUGAGGCCUCCAGCAGAAGGUGUGGCCAGAUUAGAAACGGGGAGGGACUCCACUCAAAUAAUCAGGAUUACAGGUGUCUCUUCCUCCAUCAAAGGAAAGGAUCAGAAACUGAUCUUCCCACUUCACCUUAAGCAAAACCACCUCACAGAUGUUGCCCUCCAUUUUGGGGUUUUAGUUAACACCCAUGUAGCUGACAUCAAACAAUUAACAUCAUAGUCCAGGUCAGAGUUCUGCAACUACUCUGGGGCUUUGCAGCUCCUCUGAGCACUCAGGGCUCUGCCUCCUGCCUCCCCUCUUACAGGGCGUUUUCUUCCCACGGCUGGAAAAGCAUGUAAAGUUCUUCUGGAUGUAAGUGUGAUGAGAGCAGGGCAGCAUGAGACCUGAGACCCUGGAGAAGCACAGACAGCAGGGAAGCCCUGGGCCAGCUCAGCCAGCCUGGGUCCCCUUUACCCUCAGCUCCGUGGGCUCAGACUCAGUCCUCUCCGUUUCUUCCACCAGGUGGCGCCAUUGGACAAGAAUGGGACGCUUCU
rnacentral:lncRNA from 1 species